GGGUUGUGAGGUUAAGCGACUAAGCGUACACGGUGGAUGCCCUGGCAGUCAGAGGCGAUGAAGGACGUGCUAAUCUGCGAAAAGCGUCGGUAAGGUGAUAUGAACCGUUAUAACCGGCGAUGUCCGAAUGGGGAAACCCAGUGCAAUUCGUUGCACUAUCGUUAACUGAAUACAUAGGUUAACGAGGCGAACCGGGGGAACUGAAACAUCUAAGUACCCCGAGGAAAAGAAAUCAACCGAGAUUCCCCCAGUAGCGGCGAGCGAACGGGGAGCAGCCCAGAGUCUGAAUCAGCUUGUGUGUUAGUGGAACGGUCUGGAAAGUCCGACGGUACAGGGUGAUAGUCCCGUACACCAAAAUGCACAGGCUGUGAGGGAAAGGCGAAAAGAACCCCGGCGAGGGGAGUGAAAAAGAACCUGAAACCGUGUACGUACAAGCAGUGGGAGCACCUUCGGGUGUGACUGCGUACCUUUUGUAUAAUGGGUCAGCGACUUAUAUUCUGUAGCAAGGUUAACCGUAUAGGGGAGCCGCAGGGAAACCGAGUCUUAACUGGGCGUUAAGUUGCAGGGUAUAGACCCGAAACCCGGUGAUCUAGCCAUGGGCAGGUUGAAGGUUGGGUAACACUAACUGGAGGACCGAACCGACUAAUGUUGAAAAAUUAGCGGAUGACUUGUGGCUGGGGGUGAAAGGCCAAUCAAACCGGGAGAUAGCUGGUUCUCCCCGAAAGCUAUUUAGGUAGCGCCUCGUGAAUUCAUCUUCGGGGGUAGAGCACUGUUUCGGCUAGGGGGUCAUCCCGACUUACCAACCCGAUGCAAACUACGAAUACCGAAGAAUGUUAUCACGGGAGACACACGGCGGGUGCUAACGUCCGUCGUGAAGAGGGAAACAACCCAGACCGCCAGCUAAGGUCCCAAAGUCAUGGUUAAGUGGGAAACGAUGUGGGAAGGCACAGACAGCCAGGAUGUUGGCUUAGAAGCAGCCAUCAUUUAAAGAAAGCGUAAUAGCUCACUGGUCGAGUCGGCCUGCGCGGAAGAUGUAACGGGGCUAAACCAUGCACCGAAGCUGCGGCAGCGACACUAUGUGUUGUUGGGUAGGGGAGCGUUCUGUAAGCCUGCGAAGGUGUGCUGUGAGGCAUGCUGGAGGUAUCAGAAGUGCGAAUGCUGACAUAAGUAACGAUAAAGCGGGUGAAAAGCCCGCUCGCCGGAAGACCAAGGGUUCCUGUCCAACGUUAAUCGGGGCAGGGUGAGUCGACCCCUAAGGCGAGGCCGAAAGGCGUAGUCGAUGGGAAACAGGUUAAUAUUCCUGUACUUGGUGUUACUGCGAAGGGGGGACGGAGAAGGCUAUGUUAGCCGGGCGACGGUUGUCCCGGUUUAAGCAUGUAGGCUGGUUGUCCAGGCAAAUCCGGAUAAUCAAGGCUGAGGUGUGAUGACGAGGCACUACGGUGCUGAAGUAACAAAUGCCCUGCUUCCAGGAAAAGCCUCUAAGCAUCAGGUAACAUCAAAUCGUACCCCAAACCGACACAGGUGGUCAGGUAGAGAAUACCAAGGCGCUUGAGAGAACUCGGGUGAAGGAACUAGGCAAAAUGGUGCCGUAACUUCGGGAGAAGGCACGCUGGUGUGUAGGUGAAGUCCCUGCGGAUGGAGCUGAGACCAGUCGAAGAUACCAGCUGGCUGCAACUGUUUAUUAAAAACACAGCACUGUGCAAACACGAAAGUGGACGUAUACGGUGUGACGCCUGCCCGGUGCCGGAAGGUUAAUUGAUGGGGUUAUCCGUAAGGAGAAGCUCUUGAUCGAAGCCCCGGUAAACGGCGGCCGUAACUAUAACGGUCCUAAGGUAGCGAAAUUCCUUGUCGGGUAAGUUCCGACCUGCACGAAUGGCGUAAUGAUGGCCAGGCUGUCUCCACCCGAGACUCAGUGAAAUUGAACUCGCUGUGAAGAUGCAGUGUACCCGCGGCAAGACGGAAAGACCCCGUGAACCUUUACUAUAGCUUGACACUGAACAUUGAGCCUUGAUGUGUAGGAUAGGUGGGAGGCUUUGAAGCGUGGACGCCAGUCUGCGUGGAGCCAACCUUGAAAUACCACCCUUUAAUGUUUGAUGUUCUAACGUUGGCCCCUUACCGGGGUUGCGGACAGUGUCUGGUGGGUAGUUUGACUGGGGCGGUCUCCUCCCAAAGCGUAACGGAGGAGCACGAAGGUUAGCUAAUCCUGGUCGGACAUCAGGAGGUUAGUGCAAUGGCAUAAGCUAGCUUGACUGCGAGCGUGACGGCGCGAGCAGGUGCGAAAGCAGGUCAUAGUGAUCCGGUGGUUCUGAAUGGAAGGGCCAUCGCUCAACGGAUAAAAGGUACUCCGGGGAUAACAGGCUGAUACCGCCCAAGAGUUCAUAUCGACGGCGGUGUUUGGCACCUCGAUGUCGGCUCAUCACAUCCUGGGGCUGAAGUAGGUCCCAAGGGUAUGGCUGUUCGCCAUUUAAAGUGGUACGCGAGCUGGGUUUAGAACGUCGUGAGACAGUUCGGUCCCUAUCUGCCGUGGGCGCUGGAGAAUUGAGGGGGGCUGCUCCUAGUACGAGAGGACCGGAGUGGACGCAUCACUGGUGUUCGGGUUGUCAUGCCAAUGGCACUGCCCGGUAGCUAAAUGCGGAAGAGAUAAGUGCUGAAAGCAUCUAAGCACGAAACUUGCCCCGAGAUGAGUUCUCCCUGAGACUUUAAGUCUCCUGAAGGAACGUUGAAGACGACGACGUUGAUAGGCCGGGUGUGUAAGCGCAGCGAUGCGUUGAGCUAACCGGUACUAAUGAACCGUGAGGCUUAACCUUACAACGCCGAAG
rnacentral:rRNA from 1 species